GGCGGGCGCGGUGGCGCACGCCUGUAAUCCCAGUGGCUGGGGAGGCUGAGGCAAGAGGAUCGCUAGUUCAAAGCCAGCCUCAGUAAUGGCAAGGCGCUAAGCAACUCAGUGAGACGCUAAGCAACUCAGUGAGACCCUGUCUCUA
rnacentral:sRNA from 1 species